GUGUUUGAUUGUUAAUUGCAUUUAUACUUAGCUUCAUUUGUGUUGUGUGUAUUGUUCGUGGACCAUCUUUAUAAUAAUUUGAGGGUUGACGGAACAUGUCUGAGAUCAGAUCAAUAAUGAAGAAUAUUCAUCAUCAAUUUACCUGAAUUCAACAUUGUUUCUGUGUUUUUGAGAAAAGGAGUCGAUCUUAUUUCCAUAAUGUUUCGGAAGAGAAAUUCGGGAGAAUGUUCAAACAAGAUUGCGUUACAAAAAGCGAUGUUAGGAAUGCUCCUUCGAUUCAACUUAAAAUGUUUGUUGUUUGUUUGUGUAGAUGAUAGUGUUUGCACAUAUGAAGCAAAGUUAUUACAGGCAGGCAUGACAUAUGAAUACAGUUGUUCUUAUUUUCA